rnacentral:miRNA from 1 species
AUAAAAAAUAAGCAAGUACGAGUCUGAUAAAAAAAUGCUAGUCAGAUCGCAUAUUUUCACCGUUGUAAUAUGCAAUUCUGACUAACAUUUUUUAUCGGACUCGUACUUGCUUAUUUUUUCUCC